CCUACGGGGGGCAGCAGUGGGGAAUAUUGGGCAAUGGGCGCAAGCCUGACCCAGCAACGCCGCGUGAAGGAAGAAGGCUUUCGGGUUGUAAACUUCUUUUCUCAGGGACGAAGCAAGUGACGGUACCUGAGGAAUAAGCCAUGGCUAACUACGUGCCAGCAGCCGCGGUAAUACGUAGGUGGCAAGCGUUAUCCGGAUUUACUGGGUGUAAAGGGCGUGUAGGCGGGAAAGCAAGUCAGAUGUGAAAACCAUGGGCUCAACCUGUUGCCUGCAUUUGAAACUGUUUUUCUUGAGUACUGGAGAGGCAGACGGAAUUCCUAGUGUAGCGGUGAAAUGCGUAGAGAUUAGGAGGAACACCAGUGGCGAAGGCGGUCUGCUGGACAGCAACUGACGCUGAGGCGCGAAAGCGUGGGGAGCAAACAGGAUUAGAUACCCGUGUAGUC
rnacentral:rRNA from 1 species